GAUGAACGCUGGCGGCGUGCUUAACACAUGCAAGUCGAACGAAGCGCUUGGAUGGAAUUCUUCGGAAGGAAGCUCAAGUGACUGAGUGGCGGACGGGUGAGUAACGCGUGGGUAACCUGCCUCAUACAGGGGGAUAACAGUUAGAAAUGACUGCUAAUACCGCAUAAGCACACGUGAUCGCAUGAUCGAGUGUGAAAAACUCCGGUGGUAUGAGAUGGACCCGCGUCUGAUUAGCUAGUUGGUGGGGUAAUGGCCCACCAAGGCGACGAUCAGUAGCCGGCCUGAGAGGGUGAACGGCCACAUUGGGACUGAGACACGGCCCAAACUCCUACGGGAGGCAGCAGUGGGGAAUAUUGCACAAUGGGGGAAACCCUGAUGCAGCGACGCCGCGUGAAGGAUGAAGUAUUUCGGUAUGUAAACUUCUAUCAGCAGGGAAGAAAAUGACGGUACCUGACUAAGAAGCCC
rnacentral:rRNA from 1 species